rnacentral:rRNA from 1 species
AAAGAGGGUGAUAAUCCCCGUACUUAACACGACCACCGGUGCUCUGUGAUACGUCUUCUACGAGUCGAGUUGUUUGGGAAUGCAGCUCAAAAUGGGUGGUGAAUUCCAUCUAAAGCUAAAUAUUGGCGAGAGACCGAUAGCGAACAAGUACCGUGAGGGAAAGAUGAAAAGCACUUUGGAAAGAGAGUUAAACAGUACGUGAAAUUGUUGAAAGGGAAACGAAUGAAAUUCAUUCGUGUUCUUUGGAUUCAGCCAGUUCUGCUGGUCUACUUCCUUUGAACGGGUCAACAUCAGUUUUGUCCGGUGGAUAAAGGUAGUAGGAAUGUGACUUCUCCGGAAGUGUUAUAGCCUAUUAUCACAUACACUGGGUGAGACUGAGGACUACAGCUCGCCUUUAUGGCCGACCUUCGG